rnacentral:lncRNA from 1 species
AACCUACGCCCUUUACAAGGUUGGCAGAUUCCUAUCUGAAACUACAAUUUUCGCACUAAUUACUUUAAAGAAUACGCAACUAAAUGUAAACCAAAGUUUUGUGUUCCUCCUUCAUAUCAUAUCAUAUUAGCUGUUACCUUUAGCUUUUGAACUCCAUUUUUCAUACCUCCCAUCAUUUUAUCCUAGGUGGCUAAAUUUGUGCAGUGGUUGCAAAUUAGAUUUGCCAUAAUGGUUGGAAAUAUAUUUCUCAUCCAGCCUAAGUAUGGCACAUGCAUUGAUUUUUAGUAGUGAGCAAUGAGUAGUACUGUUUUCAAUAUCAGGAUCAUUUGAUGCUUUUUAACUAAAAAAAGCGGCAAUCAUCUGUGGUACAAUGUCUAAAUGCAUUCAUUUGUAAGCCAAGUGGAGUUUCUGCUAAUUUGACAGGAGUACCAUGAACCCCAAGUUUAGAAAAUGAGUUGUGUCUACUUUGUUGAACAAAAGCAAUGAGAUUAUUUUUGCUGGGACAGCCUCAGGAAUCCUCGCCUGCAUCUUGGUGGCCCGCAUCUUGGGGACCUGUUCCUUGGUGCCAGUGAGGUCAGUCAAUAAGUCUAUGGUUUUGAUCUGUACUUGCAUUGUUGAGAUUAUGCUCUUGAUGUAUCAAAAUGUGUUUUUCCUCUUAACAAAAAAUGUGUAAGCAAUAAUCGCCUCGUGUCUAAUCAUCCAUAGUUUGUGUGAGUUCAAAAGGAAAUAUGUUGUAGUUUAGUUUAGAGCAACAAUUUAGUUGGCAAGUGACAAUGCAACUUGCAGUAUUCUCUAACUCACUGAACUCAUUUCAGUGGAGUUUUUACUUCACUGAUGAUCCCUGAUUUUUUUGUAAUAAAAAUGUUAUCACUGCAUAUUUUCUGCCUCUUUUAUAACUGUAAAUUGGUUCUAUCGUCUAACCAACAAGACUUAUGUCAGUAUAGAACUUCGAUAUUCAGAGUUCGCCUAUUUUGAAUUGUUGCUACCAAGUGAUUGAUUUGCUGUAAUUUUAUGGUUCGCACCUGCCAGGUUUAGGUGCCAGUUUUACUUCACAUGUUAGUCUUUGGGUUUCUGUAGUUACUUUGCAUUAAGACUUCAUCGCAUAAGAAAUAUACUUGCAUAGCUAUCUUUCAUAUUCUUCAACUAAUGGUUACCGUAUUAUACAAGUGGUUGAAUUGUGGGUACACUCAAUGGAAAAUAGUGCCUCUCAUACACCAUUGGGUGACAAGACUAACACUACUAAUAGAGGUAACCAAAAUAGAAGAGGAAUUAUUAUAUAUUAUUCAGUGUAUUGUUUAUAUUAUAUAAAUGAUAAUCAAUAAUAUAUGGAUGUAACAAUGCAGGAAGCGAUGUUGCACAACACAGGAAAGAAAGGGAUAAGGCUCGAUGGCACGCAAUGUCGCAAGAGAAAAAAGACGAAAAAAAUAAAAAACGUCGUGAAGCAUAUAAAAGAAGAAAGGAGCAACAACUAUGGAUCGAAACUACCGAUG